rnacentral:rRNA from 1 species
AUGAAGAUAAGGAAAAAGGAGACGUUUAGGUGUUGUUCAAGAAAAAGUUCUCUCACGUCACUUUUAGCACAAGAGAAGAUAGAGUCCAAGUCUCUCACGUUCUGGACUCAGAUUCAGACUGCACAAACAUACCUGACUCAAAACGUCAAUAUCUCUUCUAUCCGGACUCCGACUUGGGUGAUUCUGUUUUUGUUGAAAAGUAGAUUUUGUGCACUUUCCAACCCAAUUGGAUUCACCUUCAAAUUCGUUCGGAGCAUUGAGAUAUUGAUGAAACAAUAUGACGCUGCAAUAGAAUCCGAGUCAAACUACAAGUCCAAAGGUGUUGCAUCACCUCUAUUUGGGCCCAUGAGCCCUACACUACCUAGGUUUAGUUUUAGGCCGCCUUGGGACGUCCUCCCACCUCCUUGGCCGCCACCCCUUGCUCCUAUAUAA